GGGGUUGUAGUCUAGCUUGGUCUAGGAUUCGAGCCUUGGGAGCUCGCGACCCCGGUUCAAAGGCUAGCUUUCAACAGAAGGUCGAAAUAGAUCCUCAAAGCGUAAAUCAAGGAUCUAUUUCCGUCUGAGAUUGAAAGCUACCGUACCAAAGAAAACAGUUUACAGAUACGGUUGGGUUAUUGUUAACCCAAGACUGAAAUUCCGGGCAACCUCA
rnacentral:tRNA from 1 species